AAAUUGAAGAGUUUGAUCAUGGCUCAGAUUGAACGCUGGCGGCAGGCCUAACACAUGCAAGUCGAACGGUAGCACAGAGAGCUUGCUCUCGGGUGACGAGUGGCGGACGGGUGAGUAAUGUCUGGGAAACUGCCCGAUGGAGGGGGAUAACUACUGGAAACGGUAGCUAAUACCGCAUAACGUCGCAAGACCAAAGUGGGGGACCUUCGGGCCUCACACCAUCGGAUGUGCCCAGAUGGGAUUAGCUAGUAGGUGGGGUAACGGCUCACCUAGGCGACGAUCCCUAGCUGGUCUGAGAGGAUGACCAGCCACACUGGAACUGAGACACGGUCCAGACUCCUACGGGAGGCAGCAGUGGGGAAUAUUGCACAAUGGGCGCAAGCCUGAUGCAGCCAUGCCGCGUGUAUGAAGAAGGCCUUCGGGUUGUAAAGUACUUUCAGCGAGGAGGAAGGCGUUGUGGUUAAUAACCACAGCGAUUGACGUUACUCGCAGAAGAAGCACCGGCUAACUCCGUGCCAGCAGCCGCGGUAAUACGGAGGGUGCAAGCGUUAAUCGGAAUUACUGGGCGUAAAGCGCACGCAGGCGGUUUGUUAAGUCAGAUGUGAAAUCCCCGGGCUCAACCUGGGAACUGCAUUUGAAACUGGCAAGCUUGAGUCUCGUAGAGGGGGGUAGAAUUCCAGGUGUAGCGGUGAAAUGCGUAGAGAUCUGGAGGAAUACCGGUGGCGAAGGCGGCCCCCUGGACAAAGACUGACGCUCAGGUGCGAAAGCGUGGGGAGCAAACAGGAUUAGAUACCCUGGUAGUCCACGCCGUAAACGAUGUCUACUUGGAGGUUGUGCCCUUGAGGCGUGGCUUCCGGAGCUAACGCGUUAAGUAGACCGCCUGGGGAGUACGGCCGCAAGGUUAAAACUCAAAUGAAUUGACGGGGGCCCGCACAAGCGGUGGAGCAUGUGGUUUAAUUCGAUGCAACGCGAAGAACCUUACCUGGUCUUGACAUCCACGGAAGUUUUCAGAGAUGAGAAUGUGCCUUCGGGAACCGUGAGACAGGUGCUGCAUGGCUGUCGUCAGUUCGUGUUGUGAAAUGUUGGGUUAAGUCCCGCAACGAGCGCAACCCUUAUCCUUUGUUGCCAGCGGUUAGGCCGGGAACUCAAAGGAGACUGCCAGUGAUAAACUGGAGGAAGGUGGGGAUGACGUCAAGUCAUCAUGGCCCUUACGACCAGGGCUACACACGUGCUACAAUGGCGCAUACAAAGAGAAGCGACCUCGCGAGAGCAAGCGGACCUCAUAAAGUGCGUCGUAGUCCGGAUUGGAGUCUGCAACUCGACUCCAUGAAGUCGGAAUCGCUAGUAAUCGUGGAUCAGAAUGCCACGGUGAAUACGUUCCCGGGCCUUGUACACACCGCCCGUCACACCAUGGGAGUGGGUUGCAAAAGAAGUAGGUAGCUUAACCUUCGGGAGGGCGCUUACCACUUUGUGAUUCAUGACUGGGGUGAAGUCGUAACAAGGUAACCGUAGGGGAACCUGCGGUUGGAUCACCUCCUUACCUUAAAGAAGC
rnacentral:rRNA from 2 species